AUCGCUUCUCGGCCUUUUGGCUAAGAUCAAGUGUACUUUCUUUCUAUCAACCCUAGAAAUACCAAAACGUUGUACAAUGGAAGUACAAGAUUUCAAAAUGAAUAUAUGCUUGCUCCUCUUCUUCUGUGGAGACUCAUGAGGACCAGAGAGGACAGUCAAU
rnacentral:snRNA from 1 species